rnacentral:lncRNA from 1 species
GUCACUAUUGUCAUUAAAUUAUGAAAAUAAAUUGUAAUGCUUAAAUUAAAAAUAAUAAAAAUAUAAAUGUAUGAAAAUACUUAAUUUUUAGUUGGUGUAUGUAAAAUCAUAAGAUUAUAUAUUAAGUUGGCGUAGGAUCUAGACUCCCCGAUAAGCUUAUAUGGGUAACAAUUUGUGUACUCGCAGCUUGUUGGUACUAAGUACCCUCUAUCACAUUUUAUUGUAUGGUGUGUAUCAAAUUAAG